rnacentral:lncRNA from 1 species
GACGUACAUGAGAUGUGGCCCUCAGCUACACACAAAAAGAAAUCCUCUAUCCCGGUGGAGGCUCAGCGAUGCUGAUUGCUAACCCAUGGGGGCAGAGGGAGAUGGAGGGGGGAAAUCUUCCAAAGCAGGGCUGCCAGGUGAGAAAACCACGGGGACAUCUGUGUCCUUGGGCAGCACGGGCACAAGCAGGAGGACCUGGCCUCAGGACUCGAACAGCAAGCAGAACAGCCACUGGAUAACGUGUGGAAAAUGGUGAUGGGGCCUCACUAAACUUAACAUCCUCCCCUCAAAAUCAUCAUCAUCGGGAUUGUUGAGUUUGGUCCUGAUCACAACGUGAUGCAUCGAGUUGGACACCUUGGGGGCAACGAGGCAGGGGUUAAAUGCUGAUUGGGAAAGCUCUACACUCACUAGAGGGAGAAUUCUGGUUACAGCAAGUUGGUGUCAGUUAAAAGGGGAGCUGCUUUGAACUGCGGGCUCUUCUGGAGUUGUUUUUCUUCUUGCAGGAAAUCCUGGGUGUCUGAAAAAUGAAAUCCUUUCACUUGAGGAGGUCACGGGGUGCUGGCCAGCAGCCAGGCACAGGGCUCCUGCGCGGCUCUGCCCGUUCCUCUCCACGAGCCCAUCGCUUCCUCCACGACGCUCCUCUUGCACGUAUUUCUGCACGCUGCGAGGAGAGGCUUAGAUUUGCUCUUCUGCUUGUGAUUUAGCUCACCCUGUGCUUGGAGGAGGCCGGUAACGUCUUAAGACCUAUCGCAGUCCCCGAACAUAAAACCCCGCGUUGCUGGGGAGAGGUUGACUCGACUGAGCCGCAUGAUCGGAGUCAGGUGACGAUAUUGGGCACAAAACCGGAGGAGAACAAACAGUUGGGCGCAGGAGAUUAGCUGCUGGUCCUGCCUUUUGACAAGCUGUGUCACUCCUCGGGGGAAAAUGAGUGCCUGGCCCUCUCCUCUGCUUUGGAGCUUCACCAUGGUGUGUUUAACAGGUAUUGCUUUAGGCCAGACAACCACUACCUGGCCCCCUGUUGCAUCAACACCAGUGCCUCCUAGUGCAGCCACCACCCAGGUCCCUGUUGCAUCAACCCCAGCACCUCCCAGUACAAUCACCACCCAGGUCCCCAUUGCAUCAACCCCAGUGCCUCCCAGUGCAGCCAGUACCGCGGCCUCUGCACCUCAAACUGCCUCUACAAUGCUCUUGGCUGGAGUGACAUCAACCACUGCAAACCUUGUUGUGUCCACGGCAGUGCCUUCUGCUGAUCCAAGCACAAAAGAGCCAACUCAAACUCUGACCACCACCACGGAUGUGACCGUCCUCACCUCUGGCAGCAUGGCCACCUCUCAAGUGUCUACAGGACUAAUGACCAUGUCUACCAGCACCCCAGCAUCCCCUCCAGGUGUGACCACAACUCCUGGGGUCCCAUCAGCAGUUCUGUUCCUCACCACCAUAAGGCCCUCAAACUGCAGCAGAGUGAACGUGACAUCCUGUGCCCGCUGCUCCCCAGGGACAUUUCCCAAUGAAGCUUCACAAGGAGCACCGCAUGCCUUCCCUGCCCACCCGGUAAUUACGCUAAUGAGUCUGGGGCUGCAGCCUGCAGAGCAUGUGAGAAAGGGUAUUUUAGCUCCAAGCAAAAUGCAUCUUUUUGUCUGCCUUGCCCGUCUGGAUCAUUUUGCAACACCACCAGCUGCAGGGGGUGUCUGCUGUGCCCCAGUGGGCAAGAGGCUCUUCGGGAGGCGUCGGAGGAGUGCACGCCCUGCCGGCCAGGUACCUUCUGCAGCGGAGGGUGAGGGCUGCCAUAGCCUGGCUGGAAACGGGCAGCUUCAGCGCCAGAAGGAACGAUUUCUUCCCGAGAUGUGUCUCCCUUGCCCCAGCGGACCCUGGGGACGGGGGGUUGCCUGA